rnacentral:rRNA from 1 species
CGCGUAGGAACGUGUCCUGGACUGGGGGAAUAACGCUGGGAAACGUUGGCGCUAAUACCGCAUAUCUCCUGAGGGAGAAAGACCGCGAGGCGGUUUGGGAGCGGCCUGCGUCCGAUUAGCUUGUUGGUUAGGUAAUGGCUGACCAAGGCGAUGAUCGGUAGCUGGUCUGAGAGGAUGAUCAGCCACACUGGGACUGAGACACGGCCCAGACUCCUACGGGAGGCAGCAGUGGGGAAGUAUUGGACAAUGGGCGCAAGCCUGAUCCAGCAAUUCCGCGUGGGUGAAGAAGGUCUUCGGAUU